CAAAAUCUUUAUUAUAUGGACGCUAUAUAUAUAAUUGAAAAUGAAGUUUUCACUUUCUAUAUAUUAGUCAAAUGGAGGCUUAUUCCUUCCAAAACGAGAAUUAAACUACUCAUAGAAAUAUGAGAUUCCAAUUCAUAAUUUUGUCAUCACUCAAUUAUUUUCAAAUGAGUUCAUUCAACUAACGAUGGUAAUACAGAAUAUAAGAUUACUUGUUAGAAUGGCUUUUGUUUCGUUUGAAAAAAAGAGGCUUUAUUCAAAUAGAAAAGCGACAGAAUUUUCCCUUUUUCUAUUCCAUACUAGUUGUUUUCAAAAGUAAGCUUGAAAAAUUGUAUUUUAUUUGAGUUUUUAUUGAAUUGCAUGAACUUUUACACAAGUGGGCUUUGACAAACGAACAGCGCCAUGACAGGCCCUUAGCGCAACCAAUAGGGGGGUGCCGUCAAACAGGAGCCAUGAUAGACCCUUGGCGCAACCAAUAGGGGGACGACAUAUCAGCACCCUGUCACGGCCCUGUCAACGUAGCAAAGCCCUACACAAGUUCAUACACAUAAUGACAUGUUCGCUAACAAACAAAAAUAUAGAAAUUUCCCCUUAAUUUAAAAUUCCGCAAAAUAUGUAGAUGUUCUAUGUCCAAUAAAUAUUAUGUAUGUUCAAGUGCCUAAUAUCUUUAAAGUAUUAACAUAGAAAAUUUGAAAUUUAAUAUGUCUUCAAUUGUUAAAAAUUAUAGUCUUAACCACUAACAACACCACGUGAGCAAUGAGCAAGAUAACUCCAACCCACUAUGGACAUCAUUUCUAUUAAUUUGUCCAUGUCCAUAAGAUAACUUCAAAAAGAUUCUUCCGUCCUAAAUAGAAUUUGUUAAACUAAGAAAACGAAAGUACAUAUUUUCCUUUUUCUUUCAAAGAUUCUUACAUCCUAAAUAAAGUUGUAAUAUUAAGAAGCCGAAAAUUGUGGGUGAAGUAUGGUUGAGAUCAAUGAGAUGGUGGAUUCAGGGAGCUGUGGCAAUGUCAAAUAUGGGUAUUUUUGAGGUAGAAAUGAGCUGUGAUUCUUUCAUCUACUUGGUAUGGCUGAAAGAGGGAUGCUUCCCGAGUUUUUCGUUGAAAAGUUGGGAUACUGUUCUUAGCUUCUGGUGUUGUUGGGAUACUGUUCUUAGCUUCUGGUGUUGUUUUGCUUUCAUGGCUGAGUUUUCAAGAGAUGGUAGCUGCAGAGUACUUCUUGUAUUGCUUUGGAAUGAUAUUAGAAUUUAUAGCGUUCGUGCAGCUAACAAUAUCAUCUUCACUUUGAAAUGAGACUGUGUAAAUCUUGGGCGUUUAUUUUUCUCUCUUUGAAUUGAUUACUAUCGGUGGAAUGAAAUUAAGGUUUAAAAUUCUCAACCAUCUUGAGCAUAUUGAGAAGAAGAAAUGGCUUACAUUUUCCACAAGUUCUGAUCUUCCGGAUAUUCAUGCUGCUACUCAUAAGAACGAUUCCUCAAUUGACUGAUAAAGUUGCCAAUGCAAGCAAGUUGAUUCUUGUGUAGUGCAAAGAAAAUCGCAUUGUUGGUGAAAGUUGGUCGAGGAUGCAAAGUUUCUUUUCAAUUUUUAACUACCGUGCCUUCCUUGUACGUCUUUUCAUUGGAUCUCUUCGAUAUAACAACGUAAC
rnacentral:lncRNA from 1 species